rnacentral:rRNA from 1 species
GCGGCGGACGGGUGAGUAAUGCCUAGGAAUCUGCCUGGUAGUGGGGGACAACGUUUCGAAAGGAACGCUAAUACCGCAUACGUCCUACGGGAGAAAGCAGGGGACCUUCGGGCCUUGCGCUAUCAGAUGAGCCUAGGUCGGAUUAGCUAGUUGGUGGGGUAAUGGCUCACCAAGGCGACGAUCCGUAACUGGUCUGAGAGGAUGAUCAGUCACACUGGAACUGAGACACGGUCCAGACUCCUACGGGAGGCAGCAGUGGGGAAUAUUGGACAAUGGGCGAAAGCCUGAUCCAGCCAUGCCGCGUGUGUGAAGAAGGUCUUCGGAUUGUAAAGCACUUUAAGUUGGGAGGAAGGGCAGUAAGUUAAUACCUUGCUGUUUUGACGUUACCGACAGAAUAAGCACCGGCUAACUCUGUGCCAGCAGCCGCGGUAAUACAGAGGGUGCAAGCGUUAAUCGGAAUUACUGGGCGUAAAGCGCGCGUAGGUGGUUUGUUAAGUUGGAUGUGAAAGCCCCGGGCUCAACCUGGGAACUGCAUCCAAAACUGGCAAGCUAGAGUACGGUAGAGGGUGGUGGAAUUUCCUGUGUAGCGGUGAAAUGCGUAGAUAUAGGAAGGAACACCAGUGGCGAAGGCGACCACCUGGACUGAUACUGA